AACGCACGCACACACGGGCAGAGGCGCGGCGGUGGUGGGGUGCGGGCGGGAGGAAGCGGAGCGGGGCGAGGCGCGGGCGUCGGCGGCCGCCUCCGCGGACUGCGAGGUCGGCGGGAGGUGCGCGUCGGGGAGCUGACGUUCCCGGCGGCGGUGGGGGCACCGAGCGACCGGGCACCACGGCGGCCGCGGCGGAGGCCAGCGGCGGGGGCGGGGACCCCGGGGCGGCGGCGAGGCGGCGCUGGGAUCUGCCCGGCAAGGCGGCCGGGAGCAUUGCAAUGGAGAAAGAAGAUGUAGAUAUGUCUACAGAUGAAGAAUCAGAUUGUGUAGUUAUAUGCCCACCUAACAGAAAUGCUGAUCACGAGCAAGUUGUGAGUGGCAGCCAUGACGAAGAUUCUCCAGAAAGGCAUGAGACCCCUCAUGCCAUAGACUCGCAUAUGGACAGCAAUGGCCAGGAAGACAUGCCUGUAAACCAAGACUCACCAAAGCUGAUUGAUGAGCAGGAGUCGUCUCUCACCAAUUCACCAGCACAGCCUGCUAUAGCUGGACAGCCAGGGUCUAGGCAUAGUGUUCCUGAGCCAUGCACUGUUGCAGCUGAAAGGAGGUCUUCUACAGCUGGAAAUUGUGCUCCAAUUUCUCAUCCCACCAGCAGUGGUGAAAAAUUUUCUGAUAAAAGUAGCUCCUCACCAAGAAGCAUGGCAAAGAAGAGUCCGUUAGUCACACCCAGGAAGCCUGUCCAAUCUGACAAUACUUCUCACAGUCUAGAAGAUGACUCAUAUUCCGUCACUUCUUCAACUGUAACUUCAGCAAGAGCUGGAAAAACUAAGAAGACAACAGUUGCUGUUGCACCUACAUUUGUCUGCGAUAAUCGUGCUGAGAAGAGAGGAGAGUUCUAUACAAAAUUAGAAGAAAAGCGGAAGGCUUUGGAAGAGGAGAGACUCCAAGCAGAGGCCAGGAAAAAGGAAGAGGAAGAAGAAGCUCUAAGACAACUAAGGAAGAACUUGGUUGUCCGAGCAAAACCCAUGCCGAGCUUCUACCAAGAGGGACCCCCGCCAAAGGUUGAACUUAAGAAGGUGCCUCCAACUCGUGCUAGGUCACCAAAAUUGACACGGAGAAAGAGCUGCAGUGACUCCCCUCAAACACCCGAGGGAGGAAAUGGCAGUGCAGUAUGCUGUCGGUUGCAUCGUCACAGCAUUGGGAACUCCAAAGAUGUUAGCAGCAAGGCACAAUGUUCUCCGAAGAGCUCUCCAAAGACUGGGUCUGCUACGAAAUCCAGGACCACCAAAUCCAGGGAAGACCUGAAGGGUACAAUUAAGAAAGUUGGAAAGCCAAGCGCCGCAAAUGUUGCUGUACAAACCUAACUGAUGAGUCAUUCUCACUCCCAUGCCAUUUUUCAUUUUAAUUUAUACCUCACAUCACCAAAAGGAUGGCCUCAUGCCCCGACAGCAGUGUGUUUGUUGCUGGAUUAUUUUUUGCAUUGCCCUUGUAAGAACCAUGCUACAAGAGACCAUGUGCUGUUCUGUGUUGUACAUUUAUUGAGGGUUUUGUAUGUGGUAACCGAGUCGGUUCUGCAAGAACCAAGCUGGCAGCUGAUGAGCUGUUGGAGUGAGUAACAUUGUUGUUGUAUGGCGGCAUUUGCAGAUCCUAUGUAUUGUAUGAGCUGUAACUUAUUAUGGGUGUUUGUUGCAAAAUCUGAUCAGGUCAUCGUUCAUGUAUCCUUAUGGAUUGAAAUUGUGCUGA